rnacentral:rRNA from 1 species
GAUGAACGCUAGCGGCAGGCUUAACACAUGCAAGUCGAGGGGUAUAGUAGCAAUACUAGAGACCGGCGCACGGGUGCGUAACGCGUAUGCAACCUACCUUUUACAGAGGGAUAGCCCAGAGAAAUUUGGAUUAAUACCUCAUAGUGUUAUUAGAUGGCAUCAUUUGAUAACUAAAGUUCCAACGGUAAAGAUGGGCAUGCGUCCUAUUAGCUAGAUGGUAAGGUAACGGCUUACCAUGGCUACGAUAGGUAGGGGUCCUGAGAGGGAGAUCCCCCACACUGGUACUGAGACACGGACCAGACUCCUACGGAGGCAGCAGUGAGGGAAUAUUGGACGAAUGGGUCGCAAGACCUGAUCCAGCCAUGCCGCGUGC